UGUUGGCCCAAGGCUUGAAUUUGUUUUCAAUGACAACCUCGGUAAAGUCAAUUACUAAUAGUCAUGCUGGUUCGCCAAUUGACACCAUGGCUGGUUCUUUGAAUUGACGAGUACUGUAUGAGUUUUGGGCUAGCAUCUUGCAGAUGGUUUCUUUAAAGAAACAAAAAUGCUGUUUUAAGAUAAUUUUAGUCCAAUGUCUAAGAGGCCAUAUUAAUAUUUUUGGCACACAUUUUCAGUAUAUUGACGAAGGGCUGCCGUGUGGGCCCAUCGUGUAUUGGGCUAAAUCAUGAAACUGUGGGGUAAGCCAAUUGUGUUUGGUUUCAUUUCGUCUAAUUUUAGUGGCUAAUAUUUUGGAUUUGGAAUAUGUUUUAAGUGUGUGGACCUAUAUUAGUUGUUAAUAUUAUAAAUACAUAGUUGUAAUUGGACAAACUAUGACCCACAAGUUAAUUUUAAAUAUGGUUUCGAAAUUUAGUUUAUAUGUUAUAGUGGGUAUCCAAUUAUUUGAAUGGAUACACAAGCGCAUGUUGCAUAAAAACCAUAGCUAAAGAGUGAUGGGGAAAAUGAUAUAAAAUAAUGUCUAAAAAGUGAAAAUAUUGCACUCUUAAUGGAAAUUUAUCUCUUAAGAUUGAAAAGAUAAUUUUAUAUUGUGUUAGCCUAUUUUAUCAAAGAGAUAGUUAUGAUUGUGAUGUUUGUUCGAGCAUAUAAAUCACGUCUAAACUAUGAUAAAAUAUAGCUAUGGAAUAAUACUGCUCACGUGUUAGUGAAUGCAUGAAAUAUUAAAGACCUUCUUACAAAUUCUUAAAAAUGUGGGUGUUUGGCCAAGUUGGUGGAAUCUAUUUUCAAAAGAAAUUAGAUCAAAAAUCGAUAUUUUUUUGAGGAUAUUUCAAAUUGACCAAAACCUGUACCUGCUGUUUGUGUACAUUGUGAUAGUCAAUCAGCAAUUUGCCAGGGCACAAAGUAAAAUGUAUAAUGGUAAAUUUAAACAUAUUCGUUGUACACACGAUAUCAUUAAACAACUUCUCUCUAAUGGAGUUAUCUCUGUAGAUUAGUAAAAUCUAAAGAUAACAUCGUGGAUCUGCUUACAAAAGAUUUAUGUAGAGAGCAAGUUUAUAAAUUUUUUGAGGGAAAUGAGACUAAAGCCUUUAGUGAAAGAGUGCCAUAGUGAAAACCGAACAUACAUUGAUUGGAGAUCCUAAAAUCUAGAUUCAAAAUGGAUAACUAAACAAUGGUGGACUCAGUGGUACAAGCACAUGUGGUAGAAAAGGUAAAAACUUUUUGACCUACCUAUUCCUAUGAAGUAACAAAGUGCAGUAUGUAUGAGCAGUUAGGAUAAACACAACUUUUAAUGACACUUGUAUAUUGAAAUACUCAAGUGGGGUAUUGCAGAGUAUUCUUAACAAGAUUUUACCUAUAUGAGUGUGAAUUGGGGUCAUUCCUAUGAGAAGUUUGGGUUGAAUUAUAUAGAGUACUCAUGAUAUCCAGGAAUUGGCAAGGGCCAAAAUGGACCUAACCAUGAGAAUCGAACAUUAGUUGAAAAAACUCUGCAUGAUUGCAAUUAUCUUGGUUUACACGCAAAGUUGGACAGUUCAAGGGCGCCAUGUUUCACUAUUUGGUGAGUAAAUUCGAUAGCAUUUCGCAAGGGAAAACUCAAGGCCAAAACCUACUUAUCCCCUAUGCAGAGAAUUUUCUAUUGGAACUCUCUUUAGGUGUGUAUUCUAUAGUUGAUCAGCUAAUUUUAUUUAUGUGGGGAAUUGUUUGAAAAAAUUGAUUAUUUCAAAUCUAUUUUAAGUUUUAUGUGAAUAAAAUUAACUUUAAUAGUCCCUUGUUGUUAACAUUUUAGUCCCUCAACAUGAUAAGAGUUAGUGCAUGGUGUCAUCUUGCACUUGCGCCACCCCAAUGGCAAAGGCAUA
rnacentral:lncRNA from 1 species